rnacentral:rRNA from 1 species
AGUGGGGGAUAACGUUCGGAAACGGGCGCUAAUACCGCAUACGUCCUACGGGAGAAAGUGGGGGAUCUUCGGACCUCACGCUAUCAGAUGAGCCUAGGUCGGAUUAGCUAGUUGGUGGGGUAAUGGCUCACCAAGGCGACGAUCCGUAACUGGUCUGAGAGGAUGAUCAGUCACACUGGAACUGAGACACGGUCCAGACUCCUACGGGAGGCAGCAGUGGGGAAUAUUGGACAAUGGGCGAAAGCCUGAUCCAGCCAUGCCGCGUGUGUGAAGAAGGUCUUCGGAUUGUAAAGCACUUUAAGUUGGGAGGAAGGGCAGUAAGUUAAUACCUUGCUGUUUUGACGU